rnacentral:rRNA from 1 species
CCAGCUCCAAUAGCGUAUAUUAAAGUUGUUGCAGUUAAAAAGCUCGUAGUUGGAUUUCUGGUUUGAGCGUCCGGUCGACCUAGUGUCAGUACUAUGGAUGUUUGAGCCAUAUUUUGUGAGGAUGCCUUUCUGCCAUUGAGUUGGUGGUUGGGUGGACUUGCAUCUUUUACUGUGAAAAAAUUAGAGUGUUUAAAGCAGGCGUUUGCUCAUUGAAUACAUUAGCAUGGAAUAAUAAGAUACGACCUUGGUCUAUUUUGUUGGUUUGCAACCCAGGGUAAUGAUUAAUAGGGACAGUUGGGGGUAUUCAUAUUUCAACGUCAGAGGUGAAAUUCUUGGAUCGUUGAAAGAUGAGCUUAGGCGAAAGCAUUUACCAAGGAUGUUUUCA